GCUACAUGCAGUCGAGCGGUACAGUAUCCAGCUUGCUGGAUGCUGACGAGCGGCGGACGGGUGAGUAAUGCAUAGGAAUCUGCCCGAUAGUGGGGGAUAACCUGGGGAACCCAGGCUAAUACCGCAUACGUCCUACGGGAGAAAGGGGGCUUCGGCUCCCGCUAUCGGAUGAGCCUAUGUCGGAUUAGCUAGUUGGUGAGGUAAAGGCUCACCAAGGCAACGAUCCGUAGCUGGUCUGAGAGGAUGAUCAGCCACAUCGGGACUGAGACACGGCCCGAACUCCUACGGGAGGCAGCAGUGGGGAAUAUUGGACAAUGGGGGCAACCCUGAUCCAGCCAUGCCGCGUGUGUGAAGAAGGCCCUCGGGUUGUAAAGCACUUUCAGCGAGGAAGAACGCCUAGCGGUUAAUACCCGCUAGGAAAGACAUCACUCGCAGAAGAAGCACCGGCUAACUCCGUGCCAGCAGCCGCGGUAAUACGGAGGGUGCAAGCGUUAAUCGGAAUUACUGGGCGUAAAGCGCGCGUAGGUGGCUUGAUAAGCCGGUUGUGAAAGCCCCGGGCUCAACCUGGGAACGGCAUCCGGAACUGUCAAGCUAGAGUGCAGGAGAGGAAGGUAGAAUUCCCGGUGUAGCGGUGAAAUGCGUAGAGAUCGGGAGGAAUACCAGUGGCGAAGGCGGCCUUCUGGACUGACACUGACACUGAGGUGCGAAAGCGUGGGUAGCAAACAGGAUUAGAUACCCUGGUAGUCCACGCCGUAAACGAUGUCGACCAGCCU
rnacentral:rRNA from 1 species